UACGCCAAAUAUCAAUGACAAGUGCAGUAAUCGAUUGUAAGGUGCGUUCCACCACAACAUUAUCUUUAAAUAAUUAUUACUAAGUCACUCAAUUCGUUUCCAAUGUCUUACAACUUUCAAGAAAGAAAUUCAGAUGUUCAAAGGCGAUCGAAUACUGCCCUUAGUUCUGAUCGUAAACGAUAACUGGCGUUCUGUUAGCGGUAAAUACGCCUUGAUAUGCACGUUCCCGGAAACGAUGGUUCUUUAGUUCUGGGAGAAUUAUGGUUGCAAACUUACAGCAAUUGAGGGAAGAGUAACACAAGGAGUGGAGCCUGCCGCUUAAUUUUACUCAACACGGGAUAACUCACUUGCCCGAACACGUGAGGAUUGACAUAUUGAAAGCUCUUUCAUGAUUCGGUGGUUGGUGGUGCAUGGCCGUUCUUAGAUGUAGAUUGAUUUGUCUGCUUUAUUCUGAUAACGAACGAAACUGUAGCCAACAAAGCACUUUGUGAAGGAACAGUGUAUUCGUACGCUAGUCCAGACAACUUCUUAGAGGGACAAGCGGUGUUUAGCCGCAUGAAGUUGAGCAAUAACAGGUCUGUGAUGCCCUUAGAUGUCCACGGCUGCACACGCGCUACACUGAAGGAAACAGCGCACUGUAACCAUUGCUGAAAGGUUAUGGUAACCCCUUGAAAAUCCUCUGUAAAUCGGGAUCGGGAAUUGCACUUAUUUCUUUGAACAUCAAUUCCUAGUAAGUGAGAGUCGUGAUUACGCCUGGAACUGACUGGUUUCAAAAAAGCGGGAACUGCUGUUUCAAUACCUUCAAAUUUCGUAGAAAGGAGAUUCUUUGGUGGAUCAGUC
rnacentral:ncRNA from 1 species